GUAUGAGUCCUGGUACCUGCGGGACUUGACCCAAUCCACCAACAGGAACGAGCUGAUCAUCCACUUUCUGCUGAUGGAGCUUGAAACAGUGGGGAAUAUUUGGUUUGAAGAAGACUACUCUACCGACCCCUGGUUUACUUCCUUCCGGUUCUGUGUGUAGGACUACAAGGCUUAUGGCAUUACUGGCAUCAAGAUCAACAGUAUCAUCCAUAUCUGCUCCCUGCGGCUUUGCUUCGAGGACAAGCAUCAUACCCUGUUGGCCAGCGAGGAGUUGACAAUGUUCUCGCAUAAUUACAAACGCUGGCUGGAGUAUCUGUUCUAUGUGUCUGAUCUUGAAAGAACCAGUAAGAAAAAAGGAGACGUUGCACAUUCCAGAGGACGGCUUUAAAACAGCAGAUAUUUAUAAGGUAUUAUUUAGAUUGUACGCUAUGCCUGGGAUUGGGCCAUUGUUUUAGUGCCUGUGAUUGGGCCAUUGUUUUAGUGCCUGUGAUUGGGCCAUUGUUUUAGUUCCUGUGAUUGGGCCAUUGUUUUAGUGCCUGUGAUUGGGCCAUUGUUUUAGUGCCUGUGAUUGGGCCAUUGUUUUAGUGCCUGUGAUUGGGCCAUUGUUUUAGUUCCAGAGAUUGUGCCAUUGUUUUAGUGCCUGAGAAUGUACCUUGUGUCUGUGUUAGGCCCUGGGCAGAGAGAGGGUUGUACUCUUUUCUAACAGCUGGAGUGUGACGGACAGGCCUAGGAGUACACACAGUGACAGGCCUAGGAGUACACACAGCGACAGACCUAGGAGUACACACAGUGACAGGCCUAGGAGUACAUACAGUGACAGGCCUAGGAGUACACACAGUGACAGGCCUAGGAGUACAUACAGUGACAGGCCUAGGAGUACACACAGUGACAGGCCUAGGAGUACACACAGUGACAGGCCUAGGAGUACACACAGUGACAGGCCUAGGAGUACACACAGUGACAGGCCUAGGAGUACACACAGUGACAGGCCUAGGAUUACACACAGUGACAGGCCUAGGAGUACACACAGUGACAGGCCUAGGAUUACACACAGUGACAGGCCUAGGAGUACACACAGUGACAGGCCUAGGAGUACACACAGUGACAGGCCUAGGAGUACACACAGUGACAGGCCUAAGAGUACACACAGUGACAGGCCUAGGAGUACACACAGUGACAGGCCUAGGAGUACACACAGUGACAGGCCUAGGAGUACAUACAGUGACAGGCCUAGGAGUACACACAGUGACAGGCCUAGGAGUACACACAGUGACAGGCCAACGAAGGUACCUCCAAGCAGAUCAUAGACCCUCUCCUUUUCAGACACGGUCUGUAUGGUCCUAUUUCAUGUUUCACACAAUUCAAUGACUUUGUAUUGCUAAUUAAACCUUGAGGAUAUAAAUCAGGAUAA